rnacentral:sRNA from 1 species
GAGAGGGAGGGUGUGACUAGUGACAGUUAGGCAGGGAAGGGGUGACUAGUGACAGAGGGAGGGGUGACUAGGGACAGAGUGAGGGAGGUGGUGACUAGUGACAGUCACCAUCUCCCUCACUCUAUCACUAGUCACCACCUCCCUCCGUCACUGUGUCACCCCCUCCCUCACUCUGUCACCAGUCAUCCCCUUACUCUGUCACUAGUCACCCCUCCCUUCCCUCACUCUGCCACUAGUCACCCCUUCCCUCCCUCUGCCACUAGUCACCACCUCCCUCUCUCUGUCACUAGUCACACCCUCCCUCUC